UACGGAGGGUGCAAGCGUUAAUCGGAAUUACUGGGCGUAAAGCGCACGUAGGUGGUUUUCUAAGUCAGCUGUGAAAUCCCCGGGCUCAACCUGGGACUUGCAGUUGAAACUGGAAAGCUAGAGUAGGGUAGAGGGGUGUGGAAUUCCAGGUGUAGCGGUGAAAUGCGUAGAUAUCAUUUGGAACGCCAAUGGUGAAAACAGGUAGCUGGGGAUGUGCUGACGCUGAGACACGAAAGCCAGGGGAGCGAACGGG
rnacentral:rRNA from 1 species